rfam:Eubacterium sp. CAG:38 genomic scaffold, scf91
UAGUUGCUGUACGACUGGCGGAAAAUGCAGGAAGAUGUAAGAACCAUUCUCCUGUAUGUGGGAUUACCCACAGGGAGUACAGAUGUAUAGAUAAGCCGACCGCCUGGGCGACCAUU